ACCAAGGUCUGUUGAAGAGUACAUAUCUAACAUUAGUCUUUUGUUCAAAGGAAAAGACAAAACAAUUGGGUUUUUUUUAUUUUUUUGUGGUAAUGCGGAAACCUUGUCUCAAAUGCUAGGAUUUGCUGAGAGCAGCUUUAACAAUUGUUGCACUUAACAUUUUGCGGCAAAUAAUUUGCCCACUAGAGUUGUUUGUUGCAAAUGGAACGAUAUAAUGGACUCUGAGGUUAGUUGAAGGACUAUUUCAUCACACUAGAGGUUUUUGGUUUGCUGCAUAAGAAUCUUAACAUUGUCUCUAAUGCUUGCCAUGAUGGUGGUUAGGCGAUAGAGGAAAGUGAUGUUAAG
rnacentral:misc_RNA from 1 species